rnacentral:misc_RNA from 1 species
ACACACAGCAGAGAUCGCCCUCACUGAUGAGUGGCCCUUCAGCUACAGCCGCGAGAAGGCAGUAUAUCCUAUGGCCUAUAUCAAAGAAAAUAAAUUCUGGCCAGCCGUCAGCCGCAUUGACAGCGCCUAUGGCGACCGUAACCUGAUGUGCAGUUGUAUUCCGGUAGAAGC